rnacentral:rRNA from 1 species
GACGUAGGGCGCGAGCGUUGUCCGGAUUUAUUGGGCGUAAAGAGCUCGUAGGCGGCUUGUCGCGUCGACUGUGAAAACCCGCGGCUCAACUGCGGGCCUGCAGCCGAUACGGGCAGGCUAGAGUUCGGUAGGGGAGACUGGAAUUCCUGGUGUAGCGGUGAAAUGCGCAGAUAUCAGGAGGAAUACCGGUGGCGAAGGCGGCAUCCUGGACCGGCAUUGACGCUGAUGAGCGAAAGCUAGGGGAGCAAACGGG